rnacentral:miRNA from 1 species
CAGACUAUAUAUUUAGGUUGGCCUUUAUUUUCAACGGCAAAAACCUCAGUUGCUUUUGUGCCAACCUAAUACUU